AUGAGUGUUGCAAAUUUUAUCUCUUUUGAGAGGAGAAAAAGACGUUAUAUGACAUGAGCACCAUUUGCUUCACAUCAACAGAAUAGUUGCGGAGAUCUCUAGUAGUUGAAUUCUGGUGUAAUAACAACCAUGGUUUAUAGUGCUAGAGACGAGUAUGUCAGGUGUUUCGUACAUUGUCGCUACAUGGAUGUUUGACCUUAGUGGCAUUAACAAACGAGGUUGUUGAAUUCGUUAAUUGUUAUGCUUAGUGUUCUAACCUAUUAGGUAAAGUGUUGUUUAAAGACUUUGGGGAGUUGCAUCCCCAUUUGGUAGUGGGAAACCCUAGUGUUGAUUGCACCUGCCAAUGCCUUGGGUUUCAUUUUAUAUUGUUUUUUUAUUGUGGUUAAGGUGUUGCUUGGUUUUGGGAGUCAUUUUAAAUUAGUUGGAGGCUGAAUCAGGCUUCACUUAUCUAGAAUGUUUUGUAGUAGGUUUCUUCAUGUUUGCAUAUGAUGCUUAAUCAUCCAGUUUGGUCUAAACAUUUGAGAGUUAUGGGUUUCCUAUAGCAGCCUUAAUUUUGUACGGAAGAAUAGACCUUGAAGAUGGUAUAAUUUGGCCUUUGUUAGAUUAUGAAAGUUUUAGUAAUUUCAUGAUCUUUCCAAAGAGUAUUGGUUUGUAAUUUUCAUUGUAUAUAAUUGGAGUUAGGCUGCUCUGAAGUUGUUGCACCGUUGUGUCUGAACUUUAGGUGUCGUUAUAACCACCAAUAAAUCGACCGUGUUUUGAUAGUUUCAUAGCCCAAAUUUGGGAAUUCUCUUUAAGCAAAACUUUAGUUCUUCUCAGUACCUUUUAAAUGGGUAUUUACUUGUAAUUGUCUGUUAAAUAGAUUGGGAGAGGUGGUUGUCCGGUUAUAAGUCGAAUCUCCAAUGUGCAGUAUCUCGGGCUGAGUUUAGCUGUAGGUCAUGUAGAGUUGAUGGCUAUAAAGAUAAAUUUGGGUGCAACUUUAUUGCAAAAGUCAUGGACAAUUUUCAAACUUUUCCAACGCGUGUUCGUUGUAGUUUUAAGUUGAGUAUAGGAGGAGUUAUAGGUUUUUGAAUUUUAGUUGUCCAUUGUUUCCAUCCUAUCAGUUUUGCAACAAAAGAGUUACAUUAUUUUAUCGGUUUGAAAACCAAUUUCGAGACACUCAUUAUAAUAAAAGUUUUACAGAAUGUUAUAAUCUUUUCAAUGGGUUUAUAUUUGCAAAAUUUUGUUAAGCUGCAGGGAGUUAUGAUAUUUUGAAUUUAUGUGUCAUGUUUCGUCAGUUUCUGGUGGCAGAUCAUGUAUGUCGCCUUACAAGUCAAAUUAAAAAUGGUAGAUGGAAAAAAAUGUUUAUCUUUUGAAUACGAAAGUUGUAGAUCAUGAAGUUUAGAUGAUUUUACAAUAUUUCAUUGUUACCAUUGCUUUUAUAGUGAGAGGUAGAAAAAAUGAACAUUUGUGCUUUUGAUUGUCAAUUUUCUACUUAGUGAUUUUUUUCAUGGGAGUUUGGUUUAGGUGUGGUGAGCUCUUUCGCAAUCCAUGUUAAUUAAGUUGUAUGGUGGGAGGGAAUAGACGUAGUGGUUGGGAUGGUUAUCUUGUUUAUGUAUAUGUGGAGCGUGGGCUGGAACACAGAGAUAGCAAGGAACGUUUGAAUAGGCCAGUACGUAUUGUUGUGAAGCCACAUUUUCUUGUAUUGGCGUGAUUGCGUAAGUAUGAAAUAGUUACGUCAUGUGAAGUCUAGGUUGAGAUGCAAUUUGUCUGAGUUAUUCGAUAGAUAUAUGUAUAGUAUAAUUAAAAAAAGAGAGUUCCUAUAUGGGAUGAUAUAAUGUAUAGAAUGUGCUUGGAUGAAUAUGUGGGCAGGCCUAACAUGCUUAAACAGAUUCCUGUUUGCAUGAUGUGAGAUUAGGCUUAAAUGGUUUAAAAAGUUAUCAUAUUGUUUCUAUACUUAUAUUUGUUCUAAGUAUCUCGUAAUGAAGAACCUAAAGUUAUUAGUCUUUCGAUGAACGCUUAAUCUUAGAAGAGUAAUGAACCUGAAUAAAAUCUAUUGCUUGUUGUUGGGUCUGCAUGACCAGUUUUAGUUAUGCAGCUAGUUCAAUGAAGUAAACCAUCUUUUCUGUAGAGAUGUUAUAUAUAAAAGUUGUAGCCGACUUCUUUAUCUUACUUGUGUAAAAAAUUCAUGACCAUAGGUCUAGUAGUUUGGGAGUUAUGAUUUUCUCAAGUCCAGUCUUGGAAUCUGUGCAGAUUCUGUACAGAUUUCGAAACUGACCUUGUUUGCCCAAUUUAAACUUCGAAUAACUUAUUAUAAAUUAUAAAGAAGUUGUAGUACCUUUCUUAAUCUUUUCAACAAACUUUGGAUCACCCUUUUUGGAGAUCUAUAAGUAAAGUUACGGCUGUUUUAAGUGUGAUCUCUGAAUCUGUCUAAAUUUGGACAGCAGAGCCUUUCUCAUGUCUUUUGACCUUGAUAUGCAUUGAAUUAACCUGAUAUGUUUAUAAAUGAAUUAUAGACAAUUAUACUAGCUUUCUAAAAAGUCUAGGAGCACCUGAAUUGGAUGUCUGAGACUUCAAUUAUGAAUUUUUGAAUUGAGUAGUUGAAUUCUGUCCAAGUCUGGACAGAAUUUACGUUUAGCAUUGUUUGACCUUUCUAAGUGUCAAAUCUUGCUGUGAAGAUAAUACCAAGGGUAUAGUGGACUUUAUAAGCUUUCCAUAAAGUCCUAGUUUAUUAUGUUUGGAUGCUUAUUUUAUGAGUUAUGAACAAAACAAUUAACCAUUGUGCUGCUAUCCAAAAAUAUGCAAGCAUUAAGUUACUCUCUUGAAGUUGCUCUUGUUUGGCUAAGUUUGGUUUAGGCUAUAGGAAUACUAUAUGCAGUGCAUUCAUAUAUACAUUCCUUGAAGUACUUGCAUAUGUCAAUGAUUGAUUUGGUGUCAGGAAAACUUUGUUUGAGGUAUAUAGGACCGUCUACUAUCUUAGCCGAGUUGGCAGCUGGGCUUAGCAUAUGCAAUUGUCGAAAUCUAUGAUCAGAGUACACCAUGUAUUCCAUGUCUUUAUGUGGAGGAGGUAUUUGCGGAAUCCAGACCAUCAAAUCGAGCUAGAGCCGAUUCCUGUGUAGCAAGACCAGACUCUAGAGUGUCGUCUGCUGCGUAUCUAAGAAUCCUAGGAGCUUGAGGAGCUGAUGCGGUAGAAGUACCCGAACUUUUCUUUAUGUGUGAGUUUUGUUGGUUCAUUAAUCUUUCCUUUGUCGUUCCGAUAGAAGCAUCGGAAUUCGAGGUCAAAUUCUUUAUAAGGGGGAUAGAGUGUGAUACCCAAUUUUCAAAAAGAAGAGAAAUUGAAGUUUACUCUUUUUUUUCUUUUCUUUGUUUUCUCUUGCGGGUCCCGUGCUAUGGGAGGUUUGGAAUUUUAGGAGGUAAACAUCUGUAAAACAGUAAAAUUUAUGUUUGAUGUGUGCGCGGGGGUCGAGAGCUCUGGCGUAGGAAUGGUUUUGGGCCGUUGAUCGCGAUCCGGCGGUGGGAAGCCCACUUUUCCCCCCAAAACCCUAGCCGCCCCCUCUCUUAAGGCCCCUUGUGGGCAGCCGCCCCCCCCUUCCCUCCUUUGGCCGUCACCCUCCCCCCUCUUCCCUCUUCUCUCUUCCCCAAGUGCUGCAGCCGCCCCCUCUCCAUUCUCAAGUUUUUUGCAGCAGCCAUCUCCUCAACCAUAGCCGCCACCCCCCAUCUCCUCUUCUCCAAGUGUCGUUCUUCCUCGUCGGAUCUUCUUCGUGUGGGUGCAAGUUUCAAUUGGAGAAUUGGUGGGAGGAAGGAAGGAGGAAAAAGGUGGAACUCAAGGUGGUGGACUUCCGGAUCGUACUUAGGGAUUUGCCCGAACUUCCGGUAAAGGCAAGUAAAUAUAGUGGUGGUUGCUACCGUUUUGGUUUGCAUCCUAUUCCCUGUCAUUGAGUAUGCAUAAGUUUUAAUUAUGUUAAUCAUUGGAUUCUAUGAUGAAGUUUAUUUGUUUGGAAGUAUUAAUUCUCAAUUGUCUAAUAUGGUGGAUGAUCAUAAUUUGGUUAUGAUAUAUGUGGUUGAUUCCCAUCUUGGAUGAAAUUGAAGUAUUUUUUUGAAUCACGUUAUAUGAAGUGUUGUAGGCAUGACAUGCACAUCGCAUCAUCCAUCUUGCAUUUUGAAGUUAUGUCGUGAUCUUAUGGUCCGACCGUACCGGUACAUUUUUAGCAUCGUACAUUGCCCGAGGAGGGGUACGAUGCGGCUUCAUAUCCUUAGAGGUAUGAAGGCAGAAGUCAUCCUUGCAUUUGCAGACAUUUGCACUCAUGAGGUAUAUAUGAAGUGUGACAUUACUAUGUUACUAUUGUGGUUUCUACCUGCGAGGUGUGGUGACUACGUGUGUUGUACGUUGUAUACGUGUUGCACCGUCGUAAUAAGAAAAUUGUGGAAUCAAGUGGUGGUAAAACAAUGUUCUUAUGUGGUUAAACAGUUUGAUAUUAUUUUACUUGCUGAGAUGUGUCAUCUCACUCUUGCAUUACUCAAUGCAUACAUGUUGGGAAUGAGGGGAGUAGCAGCACGUCCACUUUCACUCUCACAAUAACGCUGCCCAGGCAUAGCCAUGAUUUAAUUAGAAACUUAUUGUCAAAGGAAGUUUGUUUCUUUUAACUAGUCGUGCGCACUAGUUAAUUCAGUUCAUGUCGUAUGUUUAACUUCUCUUUGCUAGCCGAUUAAUAAUACUUAGUAUGUUUUUGUCAUGAUAUGUGUUUAUACACUGUUGCCCCCCUCAUUUAUGCAAUUUUGCAAAGGGGGUGCUGCCGAAAUUUUAUAUAUAGAUGUCAGAAGUGUUGUUCAGUAGCAUUCCGGGGUGUUUGUGGACUCCGGGGUGUUACAUGUGGUUUGUGCAUCCGCUGUCGAUAAUCCAGCUUGAGCCCCCGGAUGCAUAAACCUGCAAGGCAAUUUUAGGCUUGGGUCUUAGGUAUCCAACUCUUGUUGGGUCCUACAAGGUUAGUUACAACAUCCUUUGGGACCCAAAUGCAAGUCUUGUCUCCCUUGUAUUUGGCCCCCAAUUUCCUAGCAACCACUUUCUUAUUUUUACAUGAAAGUACAAAAGCAGUAUUGCAGGCAUGGAAAACAGUAACAGAUUCAUUAUGCAUUUUCCUAGGCACAUGAUGAAUAACAUUUCCCUUCCUAGGCCUACUUCUACCAUGCACAAAAGUAGAACUUGAAGCAACCAUAGCAUGUGAAUCAUAAGAAUUAUAACUCCUAUUAUAAUGAGCAUUUCUAGAAAAUUUUCUAUCAUAAAUGAACGCAUGAUUCUUUUGACUACUACUAGCCAUAGGGGCCUUCCCUUUCUCCUUGUUGGGAAUGGGAGCCCUUUGACUUGUUUAGUUCUUAGCUUCCUUUCGAAAGCCAAGUCCAUCCUUAAUUGAGGGAUGUCUACCAACGGUGUAGGCAUCCCUAGCAAAUUUUAACUUAUCAAAGUCAUUUUUGCAAGUCUUAAGUUGGGCAUUAAGACUUGCCACUUCACCAUUUAAUUUUGUAAUAGAAGUAAGAUGCUCAACACAUGCAUCAACAUCAAAAUCCUUACACCUAUUACAAAUGACAACAUGCUCUACACAAGAACUAGAUUUAUUAACUACUUCUAGCUUAGCGUUUAAAUCAUCAUUAAUACUCUUUAAGCUAGACAUAGUUUCAUGACAAGCAGACAAUUCCGAAGAAAGCAUUUCAUUCCUUUUAACCUCUAAAGCAAGAGACUUUUGCACAUUUACAAACUUAUCAUGCUCUUCAUAUAGAAUAUCCUCUUGCUUUUCUAAAAGUCUAUUCUUCUCAUUUAAAGCAUCAAUCAAUUCAUUGAUUUUAUCUACUUUAGUUCUAUCUAAACCUUUGAAUAGACUUGUGUAAUCUACUUCAUCAUCACUAGAGUCAUCAUCACUUGAAGUAGUAUACUUAGGGGUAGCUCGAGCGCUUACCUUUUUCUCCUUUGCCAUGAGGCAAGUAUGGCACUCGUUGGGGAAGAGAGAUGACUUGUUGAAGGCCGAGGCGGCGAGUCCUUCGUCGUCGGAGUCGGAGGAAGAGCAGUCCGAAUCCCAUUCUUUGCCAAGAUGCGCCUCGCAUUUCGCCUUCUUGUAGGCCUUCUUCUUCUUCCUCUUCCCGGGUCUUUCAUCUCCCUGGUCAUUUUCAUUAUCGGGACAUUGGACAAUAAAGUGACCAGUCUUACCGCACUUAAAGCAGGAACGCUUUCCCUUUGCUUUGUUCUUGUUAGGGUACUCCUUGCGUCCUUUCAAUGCGGUCUUGAAGCGCUUUAUGAUUAGGGCCAUCUCAUCCUCAUUUAGCCCGGCCGCCUCAACUUGUGCCACCAUGCUAGGUAGCGCCUUUCUGCUGCUUGUUGCUUUGAGAGCAACGGGUUGAGGCUCGUAGACGGGUAGAGGGCUAUUGAGAGCAUCAUCAACGUAUCGCGCUUCCUUCACCAUCAUUCGUCCGCUCACAAAUUUUCCAAGAAUCUCCUCGGGAGUCAUCUUUGUGUACCUGGGAUUUUCACGGAUGAGGUUCACAAGAUGAGGAUCAAUAACAGUGAAGGACCUGAGCAUAAGUCGGACGACGUUGUGGUCCGUCUAUCUCGUGCUUCCAUAGCUUCUGAUCUUGUUGACCAGGGUCUUGAGCCUGUUGUACGUUUGUGUUGGCUCUUCUCCCCUAAUCAUUGCGAACCUUCCCAGCUCGCCUUCCACCAACUCCAUCUUGGUGAUCAUGGUGGCGUCGUUCCCCUCAUGAGAAAUCUUGAGGGUGUCCCAGAUUUGCUUGGCGUUGUCCAAGCCGCUCACCUUAUUGUACUCGUCCCUGCACAAGGAUGCUAGCAAAACAGUGGUAGCUUGUGCAUUUUUAUGGAUUUGCUCAUUAAUGAAAACGGGAUUGUCAGUACUAUCAAAAUGCAUUCCAUUCUCAACUACCUCCCAAAUACUAGGAUGAAGAGAGAAAAGGUGACUACACAUUUUGUGACUCCAAAAAGCGUAGUCCUCUCCAUCAAAGUGUGGAGGUUUACCAAGAGGAAUAAAAGCAAAUGGGCAUUGGAAUUAUACGGAAUACGAGAAUAAUCAAAUGAAAAUUUUGAGUUAACCGAUUUCUUUUUAUCGUCGUAGUCAUCGUCUCUUGGGGAAGAAGAAGACUCGUCGCUGUCGUAGUAGAUGAUCUUCUUGAUGCGCCUCUUCUUCUUCCCGUCCUUCUUCUUGUGACUCGAGCCAGAGUCAGUGGGCUUGUCGUCUCUUGGCUCGUUGAAGAUGGACUCCUUCUCCUUAUCGUUGACCACCAUCCCCUUUCCCUUAGGAUCCAUCUCUUCGGGCGAUUAGUCCCUUUCAUGAAGAGAACAGCUCUGAUACCAAUUGAGAGCACCUAGAGGGGGGGUGAAUAGGUGAUCCUAUAAAAAUCAAAUACUUGUAGCCACAAAACUUGGUUAAGAGUUAGUGCAAUAGGACCAAGUGGCUAAGGACCGAGCUUUUGUGAAACACAAUGAUCACAAAGUAAGACAACACAAAAGACACGGUGAUUUAUCCCGUGGUUCGGCCAAGUAUAACACUUGCCUACUCCACGUUGUGGCAUCCCAAUGGAUGAGGGUUGCACUCAACCCCUUUCAAGUGAUCCAAUGAUCAACUUGAAUACCACGGUGUUUUCCUUUCUUAUACUUUUUCCCGUUUGCGAGGAAUCUCCACAACUUGGAGCCUCUCGCCCUUACAAUUGAUGAUCACAAAGAAGCAUGGAAGUAAGGGAGGGGAGAGCAACACACAAGACUCAAAACAAGAGCACAAUCACGCACACAAAGCCACAACUUGAGCUCACAACACAACUCGAAGAGUUCUCUACUCAAACGGGGCUCAAGUCACUGUCUCAAAGAAUCGAAUGCGCGAGAAUGGAGCCUUGGUGAUUAGGAAUGAUCAAGGAAUGCUUGGGUGACUCCUCCAUGCGCCUAGGGGUCCCUUUUAUAGCCCCAAGGCAACUAGGAGUCGUUGGAACCCAACAAGGAAGGCAAUUCUUGCCUUCUGUCGGGUGGCGCACCGGACAGUCCGGUGCACCACCGGACAGCCACUGUAGCAUGUCCGGUGCGGAUCUCCUUCCAUUCCUGGCGCAGCCGACCGUUGGAUCUUCGGCCUGGUUGGCGCACCGGACACUGUCCGGUGCACACCGGACAGUCCGGUGCCCCUGCCGACCGUUGGAGCGGGUCACGCGUCGCCCGCGGAUUUGGCGGCCGACCGUUGCGCUGGCGGCCGUUGGCUCACCGGAUAGUCCGGUGAAUUAUAGUCGUACGCCGCCACAGUUUCCCGAGAGUGGCCAGUUCACCGGAGACCAGUCUGGCGCACCGGACACUGUCCGGUGUGCCAGACUGAGAAGAGUCUUGGCUGCUUCGAGCCAAGUUCUUCUCUUCUUUUUUUCUCUGAUUCUUGCACUUGGACAAAUAUAUUAGUACACAAAAACCAAUGUACUAAGUCUAGAAUCAUACCUUCUUGUUGAUUUGCACUUCAUUCAUCAUUUGGCAUAUAAUAAUCCACUUAAUAUGACUUGGACACUUAAUCACCAAAAUAUACUAGAAAUGGCCCAAGGGCACAUUUCCCUUUCAGCAACUCAAAAGCCACAAUGGUACUUCUUGCCAUCUCGUUCCUUAGGUGAAUGGGUUGGAAAGCACCAAGGAGGUUUAUGAUACACUUAAGACGGUGCACGAAGGUGACAAGAUCAUUAAGUUGGAGGACCUAGAAGGGGAUCUAGGAAGGUUUGCCAUGAACAAGAGAGAAGGGCCACAAGAAAUGUAUAACCAGCUUAAGUCCUUGGUGAAUCAAGUCUGCAAUUACAGGUGCAACAAGUGGACGAAUCAAAGUUGUCCGACUAAUGCUAUGGUCAUUUACCUCCCGUAAUGCUACUCUAGUUACCUUAAUACGUAAAAAUCCUAGGUACGAGAAGAUGAUCCUAGAGGAGGUGCUUGGGAAGUUUCCUAGCCAUGAGAUGAUGGUUAAAGACUCAAAGGACAUUGAAGUUUAACUCAAGGCAACUUUGCCAUCAUCGGCCAGAACCAAUCGCCUUGAAGGCCACAAGUGUAAAGAAGGAGGAGCCUCCAAGCAACGAGGAAACUAUCGAUGUUUUCGAACUCGAUGGUCGAGGAAAUGACCCUAACCAUCAAAAGCUUCCGACAAAUCCUAAGGAACAAGAAUGGCAAGGACUACAAGCCCCUUGGUAAGAGGGCUUGCUACAAAUGUGGUAAGACUGGCCAUUCCAUCGCUAAUUGUCCAUAUGCAAAAGAUGAUGAUGAUAAGGAAGAGAACAAGAAGGGAAAGAAAAAAGUUUGAGAAGAAGAAAUUCUUCGUCAACAAAAAGAAGGGAGGUGAAGCCCACAUCGGGAAGGAGUGGGACUCGGACGAGGACUCCUCCGACGAUAAAGGACUUGCCACACCCGCCUUCAACAAAAGCGCCCUCUUCCCCAAGAUCGACCACACAUACCUGAUGACAAAGGAGAGUAAGAAAAAGGUACAAUCUAGAACCUCUCGUAAGUCACUUUCUCAAAUGAUGAAUCAGUGAUGAGGAAGAUAUGAACAAAAAUUUUAAGGGUCUUAAAAGAGAUCAAGUUGCUAAAGCAAAUGAAUUUAUUAAGAUAUCAAUGAGAAGGAUGAAGUCCAAGAAUCAGUUUUCACAGUUUCACAGUUGUCAUGUAUCACCCUUCCUCUUCUUUUUCUCGCUUUAUGCAAAAAUAAGGUAAAAUUAUGCAUAAAUAAGGGUUUAAAUCUUGGUUGUUGGCUCUACAUUCACACCCACCUAACCAACAAAACGCACAUAUAUUUGUGUUUUGUUAAAACAAAGUCUACUCAUAUGAUAUACAAAAAACGUAGCAAUACACAUGCAUGUGACUAGUAUAAUCAAUUUGACAAGAGUGAAUCGAUGUAUCAGUCUAGACCAACCAUGUACAUCCAAACUUCUUACCAUCCUAGACUCCCAUUUGGCCGUGGCACUAUGGGUGCGUUUGGUUCAGAAAAGCAAAAGCUAAACCAAAAGGGUUCAGCUUUUCUGCUGCUACUUUAAAAAGCGAGUUUUGUAAUACAAAUUUGAAAGCAGCUUUGACCCUACUUUUUCACGUUUUCCAAGUUCGAUAUAUUAAUUAAAACACUACUAUGAAUAAAGUUAAAUAAAAUGCAUAUAAAUAGUAUAUAGUUUGUUCACAGUAGAUAACUCAACAGUUUGAUCCAAACACCUUUUAUCUUUUUUAUAGCAGACAACUCAAAGUAGUUUUUUCACAUCAAACAUUUUACAAUAGCUUUUUUAUAGCUCACAUGUGAACCACACACACCCUUUGACUGUUGUUUGUAUUCAAAUUAUCUAAUUAGUAAGAACAAAUGGCAGAGUCAAGAGUCAAUGACCAGGUAUCCCUCUUAUUUUCACUUAAGUUGUCUGCAGUAGAUCGUAUAAAAUAGAAAAUUUGUACUGUAGAGUAAAGCUUGAAAUAGAGGAUGAUAUAUCGAAUGAGAUAGCAUAGCUGUUGGAGACAACCUUACAAUGUUUCCUUAGAGAGGUGGAAACCAUUGUUUCGAAAUGCAUGCCUUCAGGUUCUCGGCAUUGAGGAAACCUUUUUUGCGAGUGCAAGUAGGAAACACUUUUGUUAUCUUGGUCCUUUUUGCACAACAGUGAUUGUGUUCUAUAAAAGUUUCUAUACAUACUCUCACAAUAGACAAAACCGUUUCUCCGGAAAACCACCCAUCUUUAAUGUAAUUAAUGAUUUCUCUAUUUUAAAACAUGAGAAGGUUUAGCUUUUUAGAUAUAUUAUUUUUAUUACGUAUCUAAACCUAGUGUAUACCUAAUUGUAUAAAAACUAAAAAAAUCAAAACUUCUUAUACUUAGAAUGGGAGAGGAACAAAAGUGAUUAGUGGUGUUAAACUAUGAACACACUAGUAUAAUGCCUGUGCAUUGCAACAUCACAUCAAUAAUAUAUAAUGAUAUAGUGUUUGCAGGACAUGAGAGUGUAGUGGCAAGCCAGUUUUAUAGGCGCUCCAAAAAAAUAAAUUAAAGUGGACUCUUCUCACAAAAAAAAUAAUAUUAAAGUGGACAUAUGGCCCACAUGACAGAUAUUAAAAUGCAGAUACUGCACUUUAUCUUAGCCAAAAGGUCAAGAAAGUUAUGUAUUGAAAAGGAGACCUACUUUUUUAUAGCUAGCUUGGUCACUCGUCAUCCUUCAACUGGCGAGAUGAUAUUAUAUGGGAGCAUUGCGCUGCCUGCGGUUUCGUGUCGUGUUAGACUUAAAUGUUUUCUCAUGGCGCAUCUAGAGAUAAUGAUGCUUUAUAAGAGUAGAGAUGUUUGGACCACAUGUUAGAUUAGAAAGAACUAUAAUGACUUUUUGCAAAAAGAACGAUUUUGUAAAUCAAGGAAAUUGGUGCCGUAGGAGUAGAGAUAUUUAAAAAUCCCAUUAAUAAAAUACCGUAAAAAGAAUGAAGAAAACCGGGGAGCAAAUAAAAUGAAUUAUAUAUAUAGAAAAGAAAAAUUGGGCAUGCGUAGUAUACAUGAAACAAUAAAUCACAUCAAUCGGGACCCAAUAUUCGGAAUGAUAAAGGCAGCCAUAAGAGCAUCUCCAAUAAUGUUUUAAAUUAGUGUCUCGAAUUAAAAUACAGGGCUAUAUACAGGAAAACUACUUCAACAGUUCCUCAUUUUGUAAAAUUUGGUAAAAAAAAUUAUAAGACACCCUAUCAAUUACCUCAAAUAUACUACAUUGUAAUGUAUUGCCCUAUAACUUAGAUUUGAGGCUUUACUAUUAAAGCGUAAUGUUUUGUUGGUGCUCUAAAUUCUAUAAAACAUAUUUAUUUUUAAAUUAUAGGGUAUUUUUAUAGGUUGCGUUGUUAGAGAUGCUAUAAAGGGCUUUAUCUUUCAUCUCCUGAAACAAAAGAGGCGAUUUAUUUGCCGUGGAUAGAAUUAGGAAUAUGGUUAGGAAGCCAGAGUUCAGGGUUGGUUGAGACGGCCUUUUUGUUUUUGCUACGAAAAGCUGAAGCCCAUUUGCACAGAAAGUAUCAUAUCUUUUUUUCGCUACCAUGCAUUGGUGCAUGUGCAUCAAGUACCCGACCACAACGACAGAAUCUCUUAUUAUCAACCCGUCUUCAUAAGCUUUUGGUACCUCUGUUGCUGUUGGUAGUGAGUUACGUGUGGUUGCCACACUCACAGGGUACUGAGCAUACAUACACAAUCUGUGCUGUGCUACCAGGACAAAGCAGCAGCGCCAUUGACCAAAUUUUGAUUCAAGUCAAACAUGGGAUAAAAUAAUAAGGAUGGAUGAGAACUUUUCAUGUUUUGUCUCAAGUUUUGAGAGCUGAAUGCCCGUUAAACCACUACUGCACAAUAUAGGUUUGCAUGGUUCAUUAGUACACAAAAUCUCUAUAAAGACCGUUUGUAAUAUAUUUUCACAGACGUUUUCAGAACCGCCUGUGCUGGGGCCAGUAGAAAUCGAUUUUUUCACUGGUGGUUGUGUUAAGACAACCGCAGUGGUAUUCCCUUUUCCACUAGUGGUUUUCUAAAAUUAGUUAUCAGUGGUAGUUUUUCCGUCUUUUAUCAA